AGAAAACCUCCUUAAAUGUUUAUUGGAUUGAAUAGAAUUGAAUUAAUCCGGGACCACAGGGAGCCAGGCAAAGUCCUCCAAGCAGUGGCAUGCCACAGCUGGCUCCAGCUGUGUACGAAAGAUUUUGUGAGCUGUUUGAGAUCACAGAGGUACCCUGAAAUUGCCUUGAUGGGGCUGUUUACAGCAUGAAAAUCAACAAAUACUGCAAAUCCAACUUCUAGUAUCUCUCUGAACUGAGUGCGAAGCAUUCAUCGGCACACUAUAAUCCAUCAUUGCAUACCUGUGGCUUUUUUCUUAUGACACUGACUUAUUAAAGAGAACAGAUCAGUUGCUCUGUAGAAUGUGUUGCUUUCUACAUGUGUCUGACUGUGAUAGCCCACAUAUUUCCUAUAUACUGGAGGUUAUAUCAAAAGGCUAAAUAGAUUCAAGUUAAACAUUCCUGGCUUUUAAUUGUUUUAGAUAUAUAAUGUGAUUUUCCAAAAGACACAUAAUAUUUGGUUGACUCACCACUAAUGAUACUAACAUUGGCCUCUAGAUUAAAUUUAGUAAGAGCAAUUCAGUCCCUCCAUUGUAGAGUUAUGUUUUUC
ensembl:lncRNA